AAUAAUGACAGUAUCAGGUAAAGAAACCCCGGCUAWCUCYGUGCCAGCAGCCGCGGUAAUACGGAGGGGGUGAGYGUUGUUCGGAAUUUCUGGGCGUAAAGCGCGCGUAGGCGGAUUAAUAAGUGAGGGGUGAAAUCCCAGGGCUCAACCCUGGAACUGCCUCUAAUACUGCUAGUCUAGAGUUCGAGAGAGGUGAGUGGAAUUCCGAGUGUAGAGGUGAAAUUUGUAGAUAUUCGGAGGAACACCAGUGGCGAAGGCGGCUCWCUGGCUCGAUACUGACKCUGAGGUGCGAAAGUGUGGGGAGCAAACAGGAUUAGAUACCCUGGUAGUCCACACCGUAAACGAUGAAUKCCAGUCGUCGGGAAGCAUCCUUUCGGUGUCACACCUAAC
rnacentral:rRNA from 1 species